rnacentral:rRNA from 1 species
UACGGAGGAUCCGAGCGUUAUCCGGAUUUAUUGGGUUUAAAGGGUGCGUAGGCGGCCUUUUAAGUCAGCGGUGAAAGUCUGUGGCUCAACCAUAGAAUUGCCGUUGAAACUGGGGAUCUAGAGUGUGCGAGAGGUAUGCGGAAUGCGUGGUGUAGCGGUGAAAUGCAUAGAUAUCACGCAGAACCCCGAUUGCGAAGGCAGCAUACCGGUGCACAACUGACGCUCAGGCACGAAAGCGUGGGUAUCGAACAGG